CUCGCCUGAAACCAAUUCGGAUGAACAAGACUGUCCACCAUCAGAAAUAGUUCAGCUGUUAAUAAUUCAGGGGUUGGCAGAAUGGAGACCUAAGAAAACAUUUCCUCCCUCUGCUUUGCCACAACCUUGCUUUCAGAGUGGUGUGAGUUUCUUUCUAAUGUGUAGCUCAAAUCUUUCUUUGCUGCUGUCUUUACCCUGUUAUCAGUUAACUUUGCACCUCUCCCAUGUUAUGAUCAGCCCUUCCUGAUGGGACACAGCAUCCACAUGUAACAUCAAAAACCCAUGGACAGCAUUGCUGAUGUCUGUUUUUCCCUUUGGCUUGCUGUCUUUUACCUAACUAUAAAAGGAAAACACAUGGGAGUUUUUAAGAGCAGGUUGUGUUUGCUGCUACCUGCCUCAUGUCACCUAUCCGGGAGCUUUCCAGCAGUCUGUUGUUCCACUUACUCUGGUGUGGGAAAGGCACCUUCUGCUGACUCAUCGGUGGAAGAUAAAUGAACUCUUGAUUCCAGCAGUUCACUCUGAUCCUGUUCUUCACGCAGUGGCUUUGCCUGGAUGUCCCUAUAGAGCACCUCCACCUGUGAGACUGUGCCCAGACAGCAGACCCAAAUGCACAGGCCCUGGCAGUCUGCUUUCUGGCCCUGAAGCAAGCCAGAUACCUCCCUUGCUCCUGAGAAGGGCAUUGCCAGCUCGUGAAACCUGUUGCUUACUCAGAGAAGAAGGUCAUGAAAAUAUGUGACUUGCUGCUUCCAAGAUUAUUGCUGCACCCCCACCUGAAAAGAAGCCCUGCUGCUUUGCAGGGAUGGAGAGCAGGAGGUAAGGUCAUCCUGAGAUGGAUUAGAAGGUCAACCUAUCUCUCCUUGCAGGAGAAGGCUCCAAGCUGGGAUGGGAGCAGAGCCAGCCCAGGGAGGCACAGGGGUUAAGGUCAUCACUGGGGUUCAGUGGGGGGCAGCGCACAG
rnacentral:lncRNA from 1 species